rnacentral:rRNA from 1 species
AUUGAACGCUGGCGGCAGGCCUAACACAUGCAAGUCGAACGAGUGGCGGACGGGUGAGUAAUGUCUGGGAAACUGCACGAUGGAGGGGGAUAACUACUGGAAACGGUAGCUAAUACCGCAUACCAUCGGAUGUGCCCAGAUGGGAUUGGGUGGGAGGUGGGGUAAUGGCUCACCUAGGCGACGACCCCUAGCUGGUCUGAGAGGAUGAACAGCCACACUGUAAAUGAGACCCGGUCCAGACUCCUACGGGAGGCAGCAGUGGGGAAUAUUGCACAAUGGGGGCAAGCCUGAUGCAGCCAUGCCGCGUGUAGGAAGAAGGCCUUCGGGUUGGAAAGUACUUUCAGCGAGGAGGCGUUACUCGCAGAAGAAGCAUCGGCUAACUCCGUGCCAGCAGCCGCGGUAAUUC